rnacentral:rRNA from 1 species
AUUGAACGCUGGCGGCAGGCCUAACACAUGCAAGUCGAGCGAGCGGCGGACGGGUGAGUAAUGUAUGUGGAUCUGACUGGUGGCGGGGGAUAACUAAUGGAAACGGUUGCUAAUUACGCAUACCAUCGGAGAAACCGAUAUGGGAUUAGCUUGUAGGUGAGGUAACGGAUCACCAAGGCGACGAUCCCUAGCUGGUCUGAGAGGAUGAUAAGCCACACUGGGACUGAGACACGGCCCAGACUCCUACGGGAGGCAGCAGUGGGGAAUAUUGGACAAGGGGCGAAAGCCUGAUGCAGCCAUGCCGCGUGGAUGAAGAAGGCCCUAGGGUUGGAAAGUACUUUAAGUAGCGAGGCGUUAACUACAGAAUAAGCACCGGCUAACUCCGUGCCAGCAGCGGCGGUAAUAC